UGAUGUGAGGAUGAUCUGGCUGUGACAUCUGUCACCCCAUUGAUGGCCAGGGUUAAUUCGGCUGAUCUGGCUGGCUAGGCAGGUGUCCCCUUCCCUCACCACUCCAUGUGCGUCCCUUCCGAAGCUGCACGCUGUCAAAGAGGACGGCCUUCCCCUAAUAAAGACUGACCAGUCUUCACUCCC
rnacentral:snRNA from 1 species